UCCCUGGUGGCUCAGAGGGUAAAGCGUCUGCCUGCAAUGCGGGAGACCUGGGUUCAAUCCCCGGGUUGGGAA
rnacentral:tRNA from 1 species